ACCAGCAAUUUGCAUCGCUCCUUAGAAGAAGUCUCUGAUUGAUGGCCGCCUUGGCCAGACAAUUAUAUGAACUGGCAGCGGUUGCGUGUAAUUACUGAUCGAUUUUUGUUCUUUUCGGCUGUGAACUUGGGCUUUGGAGAACUAGACUCACGGAAUGCACAGGGAAGCUCAACUAUGUCACGCUCUCAACAACUUUCGGAUCCGAUUACUGUAAUUAACUUGUUCUAAUCGCCUUUCGACGAGGUGAUGAGGCAAAACUCAAAGUGUGUGGCGACUUAAGCUAAUUACAACUUAUGUAAGCGCCUAAUCGGCGGGUUUGAAGCUCAUGAAAAAGAAACACUCCCCUGCAAACAUGGGCAAUCCAUUGCGGAGGACAUUACUCAUCUCAUUCCGUGUGGCAAAUAGGAAAAGCAAGCCUCUGGCGAGGCACAAGGAGGCACUCAAGACAUCGCCGCAGUGCUCUCAGUGCGGAAUUUAAUUGCCAUAUAAAUGAAGGACAGCCAGUGCCUCCCCAAAGACUAAUUGCCGAGCGGUACGAACGCAGCACACAAUAUUGAUCGAUGUGGCAAGUCACGAUGCUGAUGCUGAUGCUGAUGGCGCCUGCCUUCAGCCGUAGAUGGCGACAAACUGUUGCAUGUGACCCACAAAUGAGGCCAACUGUAAAAUGGGCUCCAAGGCAAAGGACCCAGCCAAACUGAGCCUAGUUCUAAUGGGCGCUGGCGACGAUGACGAUGGGAUGCCACACGUACGAUUGCCGCCAGUCAUUAAACAGAGAGAAAGCGAACUCCCUGGGAAUUCUCGGGGGGACCACUGUCCCCAUACCCUACCGAUUUCGACUGCCACCGCCCGCUGAUAAUUAAAUGAAAUUUCAUUAAU